rnacentral:rRNA from 1 species
UACAGAGGGUGCGAGCGUUAAUCGGAAUUACUGGGCGUAAAGCGUGCGUAGACGGUUAUUUAAGUCGGAUGUGAAAGCCCCGGGCUCAACCUGGGAAUUGCAUUCGAGACUGAAUAGCUAGGGUGCGGUAGAGGGAAGCGGAAUUUCCGGUGUAGCGGUGAAAUGCGUAGAUAUCGGAAGAACAUCAGUGGCGAAAAGCGG